AGAGUUUGAUCCUGGCUCAGGACGAACGCUGGCGGCGCGCCUAACACAUGCAAGUCGAACGAGAGAGAAGGAGCUUGCUUCUUCGAUCGAGUGGCGAACGGGUGAGUAACGCGUGAGGAACCUGCCUCAAAGAGGGGGACAACAGUUGGAAACGACUGCUAAUACCGCAUAAGCCCACGGCUCGGCAUCGAGCAGAGGGAAAAGGAGCAAUCCGCUUUGAGAUGGCCUCGCGUCCGAUUAGCUAGUUGGUGAGGUAACGGCCCACCAAGGCGACGAUCGGUAGCCGGACUGAGAGGUUGAACGGCCACAUUGGGACUGAGACACGGCCCAGACUCCUACGGGAGGCAGCAGUGGGGAAUAUUGCACAAUGGGGGAAACCCUGAUGCAGCGACGCCGCGUGGAGGAAGAAGGUCUUCGGAUUGUAAACUCCUGUUGUUGAGGAAGAUAAUGACGGUACUCAACAAGGAAGUGACGGCUAACUACGUGCCAGCAGCCGCGGUAAAACGUAGGUCACAAGCGUUGUCCGGAAUUACUGGGUGUAAAGGGAGCGCAGGCGGGAAGACAAGUUGGAAGUGAAAUCCAUGGGCUCAACCCAUGAACUGCUUUCAAAACUGUUUUUCUUGAGUAGUGCAGAGGUAGGCGGAAUUCCCGGUGUAGCGGUGGAAUGCGUAGAUAUCGGGAGGAACACCAGUGGCGAAGGCGGCCUACUGGGCACCAACUGACGCUGAGGCUCGAAAGUGUGGGUAGCAAACAGGAUUAGAUACCCUGGUAGUCCACACCGUAAACGAUGAUUACUAGGUGUUGGAGGAUUGACCCCUUCAGUGCCGCAGUUAACACAAUAAGUAAUCCACCUGGGGAGUACGACCGCAAGGUUGAAACUCAAAGGAAUUGACGGGGGCCCGCACAAGCAGUGGAGUAUGUGGUUUAAUUCGACGCAACGCGAAGAACCUUACCAAGUCUUGACAUCCCUUGACGAUGCUGGAAACAGUAUUUCUCUUCGGAGCAAGGAGACAGGUGGUGCAUGGUUGUCGUCAGCUCGUGUCGUGAGAUGUUGGGUUAAGUCCCGCAACGAGCGCAACCCUUAUCAUUAGUUGCUACGCAAGAGCACUCUAAUGAGACUGCCGUUGACAAAACGGAGGAAGGUGGGGAUGACGUCAAAUCAUCAUGCC
rnacentral:rRNA from 1 species